rnacentral:rRNA from 1 species
UACGUAGGGGGCAAGCGUUGUCCGGAAUCAUUGGGCGUAAAGCGCGUGUAGGCGGUUCGGUAAGUCUGCUGUGAAAGUCCAGGGCUCAACCCUGGGAUGCCGGUGGAUACUGUCGGGCUAGAGUACGGAAGAGGCGAGUGGAAUUCCCGGUGUAGCGGUGAAAUGCGCAGAUAUCGGGAGGAACACCAAUUGCGAAGGCAGCUCGCUGGGACGUCACUGACGCUGAGGCACGAAAGCGUGGGGAUCAAACAGGAGUUAGAAUAUCCCGGGUAGUCCCGAGAC